CAGCAGCCACGGUAAUACAGAGGGUGCGAGCGUUAAUCGGAUUUACUGGGCGUAAAGCGUGCGUAGGCGGCUUCUUAAGUCGGAUGUGAAAUACCUGAGCUUAACUUAGGAAUUGCAUUCGAUACUGGGAAGCUAGAGUAUGGGAGAGGAUGGUAGAAUUCCAGGUGUAGCGGUGAAAUGCGUAGAGAUCUGGAGGAAUACCGAUGGCGAAGGCAGCCAUCUGGCCUAAUACUGACGCUGAGGUACGAAAGCAUGGGGAGCAAACAGGAUUAGAUACCCCAGUAGUCCCUGUCUCUUAUAC
rnacentral:rRNA from 1 species